rnacentral:rRNA from 1 species
CCUACGGGAGGCUGCAGUCGAGAAUUUUUCACAAUGGGCGCAAGCCUGAUGGAGCGACGCCGCGUGGGGGAUGAAGGGCUUCGGCUCGUAAACCCCUGUCAUUCGCGAACAAUGGCGCCGGCCUAAUAUGCCGUCGUCUGAUAGUAGCGGAAGAGGAAGGGACGGCUAACUCUGUGCCAGCAGCCGCGGUAAUACAGAGGUCCCAAGCGUUGUUCGGAUUCACUGGGCGUAAAGGGUGCGUAGGUGGCGGUCUAAGUCGGGUGUGAAAUCUCCGG